CCUACGGGAGGCAGCAGUGAGGAAUAUUGGUCAAUGGACGAGAGUCUGAACCAGCCAAGUAGCAUGAAGGAUGACUGCCCUAUGGGUUGUAAACUUCUUUUAUAUGGGAAUAAAAUGUUCCACGUGUGGGAUUUUGUAUGUACCAUAUGAAUAAGGAUCGGCUAACUCCGUGCCAGCAGCCGCGGUAAUACGGAGGAUCCGAGCGUUAUCCGGAUUUAUUGGGUUUAAAGGGAGCGUAGGUGGAUUGUUAAGUCAGUUGUGAAAGUUUGCGGCUCAACAGUAAAAUUGCAGUUGAAACUGGCAGUCUUGAGUACAGUAGAGGUGGGCGGAAUUCGUGGUGUAGCGGUGAAAUGCUUAGAUAUCACGAAGAACUCCGAUUGCGAAGGCAGUUCACUGGACUGCAACUGACACUGAGGCUCGAAAGUGUGGGUAUCAAACAGGAUUAGAUACCCUAGUAGUC
rnacentral:rRNA from 1 species